rnacentral:rRNA from 1 species
UACGAAGGGGGCUAGCGUUGCUCGGAAUCACUGGGCGUAAAGCGCACGUAGGCGGAUUGUUAAGUCGGGGGUGAAAUCCUGGAGCUCAACUCCAGAACUGCCUUCGAUACUGGCGAUCUUGAGUCCGGGAGAGGUGAGUGGAACUCCGAGUGUAGAGGUGAAAUUCGUAGAUAUUAGGAAGAACACCAGUGGCGAAGGCGGCUCACUGGUCCGGUACUGACGCUGAGGUGCGAAAGCGUGGGGAGCAAACAGG